CGCUUUUAUUUCUAAAUUAAUGGUAUUGGUCACCAUUCUGAUUAAGCACUAAAAGGUUCAAUGUUGAUUUCGUCAUUUCGCAAUCGCGACAAUCACAACGGUACUAUUCAGGGUUAAGCGAAGUUAAGCACGGUCAUACAACUUCCUUAUAUCUUUCUAUCAGUGCAAGAGAAAAAGGGGAUCGUUCUUUAGAUGACCAGGGUGGUCUUUGUAUCUAUACGAGUAAAUAUUAGCAGAGGAUGAUGAGAAUCUCCCCCCUCUCCUUCUUACUUUCUCCUUCCUCUUUUCACCGACGUCAAACCCGUGGACGUCUUCCUCACUCCGACGGAUCCGCUCAUUCCGUCGCGACGUCAUUCUAGAGGCUUUUACCUGUUCUCUUUAAACCGACCGAAUCUCACCGAAAAUUCACUCUGAUAUUACCUCCAUUCAAGUAUGCUCUCACGACGGCGUCUUUUCUCCUGUGUGGUAGACAAAAAUCUCGACAAAUGUUAAUAUUCGUUCCAGAAAUCGAAUUCAAUGUUAUUUUGUGACAUAAGUUCUGCAAUAAUUGCGCUGCAGAUAUUUGUGUGAUUUUAAUUGUAAUUCAUGCUGAUAACAAUCUAUUAGCAUAGCUAAAAAGGUAAAUAUAAGCAAAUUUCUAAUUAAAUUCUAGUUUCUACUAGAAUAUUUCAACUUUAGUGUUAACAUAGUUAAAUUUUUUUUUCUAAAAGAUUUGGAAUGUUAAAAUUGUUUUUUCUAUUCGCUAAUAUCCCGAGACAUUAAUAGCAUUAAGGUUGUCUGUGCCACUUGUGCCGUUUUACUAAGGUGCAUGAAACGUACCUAGCCUGUCCCCACGGGGCACACCUGUCUCGCGAGAAGCGUUCGAUGAAGAUCGUGUGCGAUUGAGUACUGUGGUCCAAAAUUAACCCCGAUGCACGAAAAGCACGGAGUAUAGCGUAGUGACGUCAGGAACGACGUAGGUUCCAUGAAGCGGUUCCUCGUUUUAGGUAGGUCGAAUAGAAGCACACCCGCGCCUUAAUGCGAGGUGCCCUAACACGUUAUUAUUCGUGCAGUCAUUGCCAUCCAAGGACGUCUCGAUUUGGCCGUAAUAAACGUUCCAAUUUUGUGAAGAGAGAUUAUUUUUUUAUAUGUCGAUUGUACAUCACGUCAAGCUUUGACAGUCAAAGGAAAGGACACACUAACAGAAGCUUUGUGUGCAGUGACUGUUAUCAAGUACGGUUGUUGCGAUUGCACAGGCUAACGUGAAACGCAUUUUCCAAAGCAGUUUAUCAAAUAAAUCGAUAUACAACCAAACUAACCGAACAAAGUUUUUUUGAACUUUUUUGUGUAAAUUGUACAGUGCUAUACAUGAUAAAUUAACAAAUAAUACAAUUUAACAAUUUUAAAUAUAUGAAAUGUUCUUAUAUUUCUUAAUCUUAUUGUAUGUUUUUGUAUUUAAUAUUUGUCUGCGAUUUUACCUUCUAUUUUUAGAUGAUUUUAAGUUUUCUAAUUUAUAUUACUUAUUAAAAAGUUAUAAACAUUUAAAGAUUUCUUUAUCAGUUAUUAUAAUAAUUAUAAUAAAUACUUAAAAAAAAGAUCGACAGCCAUUAAUCUGACAAAUGAAAAUCUUGCAGAAGAAAAAAA